GAUGAACGCUGGCGGCGUGCCUAAUACAUGCAAGUCGAGCGAACGGACGAGAAGCUUGCUUCUCUGAUGUUAGCGGCGGACGGGUGAGUAACACGUGUAUAACCUACCUAUAAGACCGGGAUAACUUCGGGAAACCGGAGCUAAUACCGGAUAAUAUUUUGAACCGCAUGGUUCAAAAGUGAAAGACGGUCUUUCUGUCACUUAUAGAUGGAUCCGAGCUGCAUUAGCUAGUUGGUAAGGUAACGGCUUACCAAGGCAACGAUGCAUAGCCGAACUGAGAGAGUGAUCGGCGACACUGGAACUGAGACACGGUCCAGACUCCUACGGGAGGCAGCAGUAGGGAAUCUUCCGCAAUGGGCGAAAGCCUGACGGAGCAACGCCGAGUGAGUGAUGAAGGUCUUCGGAUCGUAAAACUCUGUUAUUAGGGAAGAACAUAUGUGUCAGUAACUGUGCACAUCUUGACGGUAACUAAUAAGAAAGCAACGGCUAACUACGUG
rnacentral:rRNA from 1 species